rnacentral:rRNA from 1 species
UACGGGGGGGGCUAGCGUUGCUCGGAAUCACUGGGCGUAAAGGGUGCGUAGGCGGGUCUUUAAGUCAGGGGUGAAAUCCUGGAGCUCAACUCCAGAACUGCCUUUGAUACUGAAGAUCUUGAGUUCGGGAGAGGUGAGUGGAACUGCGAGUGUAGAGGUGAAAUUCGUAGAUAUUCGCAAGAACACCAGUGGCGAAGGCGGCUCACUGGCCCGAUACUGACGCUGAGGCACGAAAGCGUGGGGAGCAAACAGG